AGGUGAUGAUGAAUCCAAAUUGUGGGAAGAACAUAUUCAGAAUGGCAGCGAGUUACAAUCUUAUGCAAAAGCAAUGCACAAGUUGGCUACAGAACAUUGGGAAGGAACCCACCAGACAAAUGUUUCUCGUGUUCUUUGGAUCUACAAUGCCAUCAAACAGUAUUUCCAUGAGGGGGAACUGCAACGAGUCACUGAGAAAGAAAUGCGAAAAUUGAAGCAUUUGGAGCUUGAAGUGGAUUUUUGUGAUUAUAACAGGUAUGGAGCUUCUUGUACAAUUAAGCUGUU